UACGUAGGCAGCGAGCGUUGUUCGGAGUUACUGGGCGUAAAGAGUGCGUAGGCGGUUUUCUAAGUUUGGUGUGAAAUCUCCCGGCUCAACUGGGAGGGUGCGCCGAAGACUGGAAGGCUUGAGUAUGGGAGAGGUAAGCGGAAUUCCUGGUGUAGCGGUGAAAUGCGCAGAUAUCAGGAGGAACACCGAUGGCGAAGGCAGGUCUCUGGGCCAUAACUGACGCUGAGAAGCGAAAGCAUGGGGAGCGAACAGG
rnacentral:rRNA from 1 species